ensembl:lncRNA
GUGACUAACACCCAUCCAUCUUAAGUCCUAUGUAAUAAAGCUCCUGUGUGUGUUAGUCAUGACUCGAGGGUGACUGACCCUUGUUUCUAGGCUGGUGAUCAGAACCAGCCCUCCAUUCAAGAUUGUUCAAUUUACAAGAAAGACAAAAAGGAGGCAAGAAUAAAGCUCAAAGUAAAACUGAACCCAGCUACUGUUCUCCUUCCCAUAUUAGAAUAUUUCUCUAAAAGUGGAUUCUCCAGGGAAGAGAACAUCACAAAGGAAACAGAUGGCUAGUUUAAGGCAAGCAGGAGCUACUCCAUAUUGCCUUUAGCAGGAAGGACUUGAUCAGUUGUGGUUAUUCCUCACGUAUAUUCCAACCUCCCUGUUUAUGCAGUGCAAUAGAUAAGCAGAUAAUUGUACUCCUGCACUAUCAAACCAGCAGCUGAAUGUGGAAAGGGACUCAGAAAUGGAAACUUUGUCAGUUAGUUAGUGAAUUAUCACAUGAAACAAAUUGUGCACUUUUUGUUCAGUCCAUUAGCUGCAAGGAUGAAAGGAAUUGCUCUCCCAACACAUAAUAUUCCAAUUCCAUAUUUUCACUUAGCACUUCUCUUUCCUGCUCUGCAAAUAAAAUGUAUUUAUAUUCUGCACGAAAUUGUUCCCUCUGACCAGAACGUUAUUUUCAUCAGAGACAACUGUAAACUCAAUUGCUCUCUGAAAGGAAGCCUUGGGAGUGCAGUACCUCUGACACGAGAGCAGGUUGGCUGGGCCUGCCUUUUAGUAGCUGGAUGGUGACUGGAAUGUACACCCACCAGCCACUCUGCCUCCUAUUUCUGUGCUUCUGAGAUAGACAGUGGCAGAAUGGCUCAGAGUCAACUUGCCACAAUUCAAUGAACUAUGAAUAAUAGUUCGAUUUGUUCAGUUUCGUUCUUCCAGGAAACUCCAACCUUUAUAUUGUUUCAUUAAUUUGAACAGGGUUUUAUAUUUUUAUUCCCAUUUCAUAGAUAUAAAUUUUGAUGUCCAGAGAGAAAUGCAAACCAUCUCUGAGGUCACUGAAUCAGUUAGUGUCCAUUGCUUCUGAAUUUCUAGGUAAUGAUUUAAGACUAUCAUGCAAAUGACCGCAAGCCUACAGAUUCACGUCUCAGUGAGAUGCAAUCAGUUCUACUAAAGCCUGGUCAAAUACAAGUAUGAAAAGUCAUUGAAAUAAAAACAAUGGCCCAUAACAAUGGGGCCAUUAAGGUACAAACAUUUUUAUCAUUUAAAAGUGUGGGGAAAGCUGGGGAUGGUUAAGGGCAUUUAAAUUUAAAAACAGGAAGAGAAGGAAAUUAACGUUUGCUAAGUAAUUUUUAUGGUUAGACAUGUAGAAUAUUUAAUUUUCAUAAUAAUUAUAUAAAUGAAGUAUUUUUAUUCCCAUUUUACAGAAAACUAAACUCUCAAGCUCAGAAAAUGUCUCCAGUAAAUCUUUAAACAUCACCUGGCUUGCAGAAGCUCAAGAGGCACACUCGCUCUGGCAAUUAGCUGUCAGCUGAUCACCAAUUCAAAUGUGCUGGGGUGAGCCACGCUGAUGAUCUGUACUUGCAGCAAUCACUUGGCUGGGUGAAUCAAAUUGUGCUUUCCAAUGCCACUUCAAAUCAGGAUUGCUAUGUCUGAACUCAUUUUUAGCAGUAAGGAUUAACCUGCAAGUUAUUUUCUUUGAUACUGACUAUACGUGGGCAAGGAAGGAAUUUAGGCUUCUUUUAAGUUCUGCUCAACAGGC